rnacentral:rRNA from 1 species
CGGUCCUAAGGUAGCGAAAUUCCUUGUCGGGUAAGUUCCGACCUGCACGAAUGGCAUAAUGAUGGCCAGGCUGUCUCCACCCGAGACUCAGUGAAAUUGAAAUCGCCGUGAAGAUGCGGUGUACCCGCGGCUAGACGGAAAGACCCCGUGAACCUUUACUAUAGCUUGACACUGAACAUUGAAUUUUGAUGUGUAGGAUAGGUGGGAGACUUUGAAGUAGUCACGCCAGUGAUUAUGGAGUCGUCCUUGAAAUACCACCCUUUAACGUUUGAUGUUCUAACGAAGAUUGCGAAACGCGGUCUCGGACAGUGUCUGGUGGGUAGUUUGACUGGGGCGGUCUCCUCCCAAAGCGUAACGGAGGAGCACGAAGGUUUGCUAAUCACGGUCGGACAUCGUGAGGUUAGUGCAAUGGUAUAAGCAAGCUUAACUGCGAGACAGACAAGUCGAGCAGGUACGAAAGUAGGUCAUAGUGAUCCGGUGGUUCUGUAUGGAAGGGCCAUCGCUCAACGGAUAAAAGGUACUCCGGGGAUAACAGGCUGAUACCGCCCAAGAGUUCAUAUCGACGGCGGUGUUUGGCACCUCGAUGUCGGCUCAUCACAUCCUGGGGCUGAAGUAGGUCCCAAGGGUAUGGCUGUUCGCCAUUUAAAGUGGUACGCGAGCUGGGUUUAGAACGUCGUGAGACAGUUCGGUCCCUAUCUGCCGUGGGCGUUGGAGAAUUGAUUGGGGCUGCUCCUAGUACGAGAGGACCGGAGUGGACGCAUCACUGGUGUUCCGGUUGUGUCGCCAGACGCAUUGCCGGGUAGCUACAUGCGGAAGAGAUAAGUGCUGAAAGCAUCUAAGCACGAAACUUGCCAAGAGAUGAGUUCUCCCACACAUCAAGUGUGUAAGGGUUGUUUAAGACUAAGACGUAGAUAGGUGCGGUGUGUAAGUGUAGUGAUACAUUGAGCUAACGCAUACUAAUUGCCCGAGAGGCUUAGCCAU